UACAGAGGUCUCAAGCGUUGUUCGGAUUCAUUGGGCGUAAAGGUGCGUAGGCGGUGAGGUAAGUUGGAUGUGAAAUCCCGGGCUUAACCCGGAACUGCAUUCAAUACUGCCUUGCUAGAGUACUGGAGAGGAGAUUGAAUUCACGGUGUAGCAGUGAAUGCGUAGAUAUCGUGAGGAAGACCAGUGGCGAAGGCGAAUCUCUGGACAGUAACUGACGCUGAGCACGAGGCAGGGAGCAACGG
rnacentral:rRNA from 1 species